ensembl:lncRNA
CUUUCUCCAGUCUUUUCUUUCUCCAGUCUUUUCUUUCUCCAGUCCAUUCUUUCUCCAGUCCAUUCUUUCUCCAGUCCAUUCUUUCUCCAGUCUUUUCUUUGUCCAGUCUUUUCUUUCCCCAGUCUUUUCUUUCUCCAGUCCAUUCUUUCUCCAGUCCAUUCUUUCUCCAUCUUUUCUUUCUCCAGUCCAUUCUUUCUCCAGUCUUUUCUUUCUCCAGUCUUUUCUUUCUCCAGUCCAUUCUUUCUCCAGUCCAUUCUUUCUCCAGUCCAUUCUUUCUCCAGUCUUUUCUUUCUCCAGUCCAUUCUUUCUCCAGUCCAUUCUUUCUGCAGUCCAUUCUUUCUCCAGUCUUUUCUUUCUCCAGUCUUUUCUUUCUCCAGUCCAUUCUUUCUCCAGUCCAUUCUUUCUCCAGUCCAUUCUUUCUCCAGUCUUUUCUUUCUCCAGUCUUUUCUUUCUCCAGUCUUUUCUUUCUCCAGUCCAUUCUUUCUCCAGUCCAUUCUUUCUCCAGUCCAUUCUUUCUCCAGUCUUUUCUUUCUCCAGUCCAUUCUUUCUGCAGUCCAUUCUUUCUCCAGUCUUUUCUUUCUCCAGUCUUUUCUUUCUCCAGUCUUUUCUUUCUC